GCCUGACUGGCUCAGUCAGUAGAGCAUGCAACUCUUAAUGUCAGGGUUGUGAGUUCGAGCCCUAUGUUGGGCA
rnacentral:tRNA from 1 species